ACUGGAGCAGCAGCACAGCCAGGUGGACUGGGGACAGCAAGGAGUCAUCAUGUCAGGUAUUCCUGGGGCAUGGUCCUACUGCUGACCUCGUACAGCUGACAUACUGCUGACCUCGUACAGCUGACAUACUGCUGACCUCGUACAGCUGACAUACUGCUGACCUCGUACAGCUGACAUACUGCUGACCUCGUACAGCUGACAUACUGCUGACCUCGUACAGCUGACAUACCGCUGACCUCAUACAGCAGACAUACCGCUGACCUUAUACAGCUGACAUACUGGUGACCUUAUACAGCUGACAUACUGCUGACCUUAUACUGCUGACCUCAUACUGCUGACCUCAUUCAUACUGCUGACCUCAUUCAUACUGCUGACCACAUACUGCCCACCACAUACUGCUGACCACAUACUGCCCACCACACUGCUGAUCUCAUACAGUUGACCUCACACUGCUGACUUCAUACAGCUGACUUCAUACAGUUGACCUUACACUGCUGACCUCAUACUGCUGACCACAUACUGCUGACCUCAUUCAUACUGCUGACCUCAUUCAUACUGCUGACCUCAUUCAUACUGCUGACCUCAUUCAUACUGCUGACUUCAUACUGCUGACCUCAUACUGCUGAUCUCAUACAGUUGACCUCACACUGCUGACCUCAUACUGCUGACCUCAUACUGCCGACCACAUACUGCCCACCACAUACUGCCCACCACAUACCGCCCACCACAUACCGCCCACCACAUACCGCCCACCACAUACUGCUGAUCUCAUACAGUUGACCACACACUGCUGACCUCAUACUGCUGACCUCAUACUGCUGACCUCAUACUGCUGACCUCAUACUGCUGACCUCAUACUGCUGACCUCAUACUGCUGACCUCAUACUGCUGACCACAUACUGCUGACCUCAUACUACUGAAUACAUACUGCUGACCUCAUACUGCUGACCACAUACUGCUGACCACAUACUGCUGACCACAUACUGCUGACCUCAUACUGCUGACCUCAUACUGCUGACCUCAUACUGCUGACCACAUACUGCUGACCACACACUACUGACCACACACUGCUGACCACACACUGCUGACCACAUACUGCUGACCUCAUACUGCUGACCACAUACUGCUGACCUCAUACUGCUGACCUCAUACUGCUGACCAAAUACUGCUGACCUCAUACUGCUGACCACACACUACUGACCACACACUGCUGACCACAUACUGCUGACCUCAUACUACUGAAUACAUACUGCUGACCUCAUACUACUGACCACAUACUGCUGACCUUAUACUGCUGACCUCAUACUGCUGACUGCUGACCACAUACUGCCCACCACAUACUGCUGAUCACAUAUUGCUGACCACAUACUGCUGACCUCAUACUGCUGACCACACACUACUGACCACACACUGCUGACCACAUACUGCUGACCACAUACUGCUGACCUCAUACUACUGAAUACAUACUGCUGACCUCAUACUACUGACCACAUACUGCUGACCUCAUACUACUGACCACAUACUGCUGACCUCAUACUACUGAAUACAUACUGCUGACCUCAUACUACUGACCACAUACUGCUGACCUCAUACUACUGAAUACAUACUGCUGACCUCAUACUACUGACCACAUACUGCUGACCUUAUACUGCUGACCUCAUACUGCUGACUGCUGACCACAUACUGCCCACCACAUACUGCUGAUCACAUAUUGCUGACCACAUACUGCUGACCUCAUACUACUGACCACAUACUACUGACCACAUAUUGCUGACCACAUACUGCUGACCUCAUAUUGCUGACCACAUACUGCUGACCUCAUACUACUGACCACAUACUACUGACCACAUACUACUGACCACAUACUGCUGACCACAUACUACUGACCACAUACUACUGACCACAUACUGCUGACCUCAUACUGCUGACCGCCGACCUCAUACUGCUGACCUCAUACUGCUGACUGCUGACCACAUACUGCCCACCACAUACUGCUGAUCUCAUACUGCCCACCACAUACUGCUGAUCUCAUACAGUUGACCUCACACUGCUGACCUCAUACUGCUGACCACAUACUGCUGACCUCAUACUGCUGACCUCAUACUGCUGACUGCUGACCACAUACUGCUGACCUCAUACUGCUGACCACAUACUGCUGAUCACAUACUGCCCACCACAUACUGCUGAUCUCAUACUGCUGACUUCAUACAGCUGACUUCAUACAGCUGACCUCACACUGCUGACCACAUACUGCUGACCUCAUAUCGGUGACGUCUUACCGCUGACCUCAUGAAUUGACCCUUCGCUAACCAGCUGAGCUAGCAAACAAUGUAACAAAUUAUAAUUUUUGAAUCUCAAAAUACUCCAAAAGGCUCUGCAUCUCAGGAAUCACAAGUACCCCUGGUGCACUGUUAAAUUAUUUUUCCAUUACAUGUUUUAUUUAUUUAUUUAAUUUUUUAAAGAAAACUCUGUUUUUGCCAUAGCCCUCACUGGCUUUCAUGCGAUUUAAACGUGAGCUUGUCCUAUGUGCCAGACUGGAUGACAGUUGCUAUCCAUUGGACCUUCUCAGACUUAACGAAGGGUUUAUACGUAGUUGGCUCAGGAGAGGUGUGCCUUAGGUUUCCAAGAGUGUCAACUAUGCACAGCAUCAAAAGUCAAUUCUCAUCGCUCUCUCCUCUCUCAUUCUCUCCCUAUGUUUUCUCUCUCUCUGUCUGUCUGUCUCUCUCUCUCUCUCUCUCUCUCUGAGUCUAAAUGCUAACCCAUUAGGAGAGGAGUAUGUAGCUCAUGUCUCCUACAUGUUCAGCUUCCUACGAGUCAGAUGGCUGAAGAUGUGGGCCCAGGAAGUCUCUCGGGCAGAGAUGGAGCUGAGGAUCUCUCAGUGUGUGUUUGACCGACAGUCAGAGAUCACCAGACUACUGCUGGAGGGAAUCAACACUACACAUGCUGCCCAUUUGAGAAGUCUGUCUGACUUUGUAGAAGCCCAGGGUAGCUACCAGCUCACACAGGACCUACACACCCAACUGGCCUGGUGUGUAUCUGUGUGUGUGUGUGUGUUAACCGCUUUUUACUUUCUCUCAUUGUAGCUCUCCCCCUCUGAUCUGCUAUAAUAACAACUGGCACUUAGAAACUAACCAACCCUCAACAGGUAACCUGCCCUUAUCAACCAUUCAGCCCCUAGCAACCUGUGACUCUUCAACAACCAACCAGGCAACUAGUCAACCCUUAGCAACCAACCAGGCAAACAGCCAACCCUUAACAACCACCCAGCCCUUAGCAACAUGUGAGUUUUCGACAACCAUCCAGGCAACUAGCCAACCUGUAGCAGCCAACCAGGCAACUAGCCAACCCCUAUCAAGCAACCAGGCAAACAGCCAACCCUUAGCAACCAACCAGGCAGCCUACGAGUCCUCAAAAACCAAGAAGUCCUCGACAUACAACCAGACAAGCAGCCAAAUCUUAGCAACCACUGGAUCCUCUACAACCAACCAGGUAACCAACUAGUUUAGAUUAGUUUAUUGACAAAAAUGUUGAUUUGCUAGGCCUCGACACUCAUCCAGGCAACCAGCCAACCCCUAGAAAUCAACCAGGCAACCAGCCAACCUCUACAAACCAUCCAGGCAACCAAUGAGUCCCCAACAACCAAUGUGUCCUCAUCAACCAACCAGGCAACAAACCAACCCUUAACAACUAACCAGCCAUUGACAACCAACCAGGCAACCAGUCAAUCCCUAGCAACCAACCAGGCACCCAGUCAAUCCUUAGCAAACAUUGAGUCCUCACCAAUCAACGAGUCCCCGACAAACAACCAAGCAACCAGCCAAGCCUUGACAACCAACCAGCCAACCAUUAGCAACCAAUGAGUCCUCAACCACCAACCAGGUAACUAACCAACCCUUGCAAACCAACCAAGCCAACAAUGACUUCUCAAUAACCAAUGAGUCCUCAACCACCAACCAGGCAACUAGCCAACCCUUAGCGACUCACCAGCCCUCGACAACUAACCAGGCAACCAGCCAAUCCUUAGCAACUAACCAGGUCCCCAGCCAACCCUUUACAACCAGCUGGGAAUCUUUCAAACCCUUAGCAACCAAUGACUCAUCAACAACCAACGAGUUCUCAACAACCAACCAGACAACUAGCCAACCCUUAGCCACCAACAGGUCAACCAACCAGACAACCAAUGUGUUUUCAACAACUAAUGAGUCCUCGACCACCAACCAGGUAACUAACCAGCCCUCGACAACCAAUAAGGUAACCAACCAAUCUCUAGCAACCUACCGGACAAACAGCCAAUGAGUCGUCACCAAACAACGAGAACUUGACAAACAACCAAGCAACCAGCCAACCCUUGACAUCCAACCAGGCAAUCCUUACAAACCACCCGGUAACCAACCAACCAACAGACAGCCCUUGAUAAGCCACCAGGAAACCAUCAAACCCUUAGCAGCCAAUGAUUUCUCAGCAAUCAACGAGUCCUCGACAAUCAAGGAGAACGUGACAAACAACCAACUCUCAACAACCAACCAGCCCUUAGAAACCAGCCAGAGAACCAGUCAGCCUGCAGGUGGUCCUGUAGCUGACUGAACAAUCUGACUGUGGAACUGUCUGUAUGAAAAGCGUGCGUUUAUAUUGUGGGUUUGAGUUGUGAACAGCUCCUCUCUGCCAAAACAUCAGCUACCAUGGCUAGGUCCUAAAUGAAGGCUCUGUCUCAGUCGUAGUGGUGAAGGGCAACACAGCUAUAGGGGCCGUCUAUAAACCGUAGCAGGCUUGUAUUGACCAUUCACCAGUGUUGUUGUUGGACCCAGCAGGACACACGCGUACGGGCUAAUCCAGGAAGAGUAAGAGGACAUGCUACUAUGGAGUCAUCAGUGGUAGGGAAGUCUUAGAUGUUGAUAUCUACUGUCCUGUCAUAACCUGUGUGUCUAUCGGAGCGUCCAUGUACUCUUUAAGGGAGUUAUAUGGUGGUGGUCUACAGUAUGUGCAGGUUAUCUAGAUGUAUGUAGGUUACUGUAUAUGGGGGUGUAGAUCUAUAUGGUUGGUAUAGACUGUCUAUUUGGAGACUUGGAGGAAAACUGACAGCUGUGUUUACAUGAUGUAUUGUGUCGUCUGAAAACAGUUUGUGUGAUCAAGAGAGGUGACAUGUUUCAUAUGUAAUACAUGUGUGUGUGACCCUUCACCUCUAUAGGGUGAGGUCAUUUUCCAUACGGCAACAUGUCGCGCUUAUUCCAUAGUAUUAAACAUACACACAGCCUUGAAUAUAGUCCCACCAGGCUAAACCGUGUAAAUGUUUCCGUCUACAGAUGUUUUCAAUUGACCCUGCCUGAGAGGGCAGCUAUACACACACACACGACAGCCCCGCCUCGAUCUGCUGGUGCUGAGGUCUACGUGCUUACUCUGGGUUACUGGGACACAGAACACACACACAUUAACUAUUGAGGUUUGACUUCCCUGUCUCUGAACCUGUCAGGGUUGUUUCAGUGACAUUAUGUUUUAUUAACUCUGACCAUAUAAGAUCAUCUGGAAUUAUUUAGAAUCAUAUUAAACUGAUAAUGAGGC